AGGACUGAAAUUACUUCGUUUUCCCCUAGAAGUCAGUCUAUGUAGCGCUUUAUAGUCCAUAAACUAAGCCGGCAGUGAGACUUGUUCUUGAAGAGCCAGGUUGGCCCAGUUGGGCAGGGCUCAGUGUAAUGGCUCCGUUCUCCACUAGAUGGCGCUGCUAGCCUACCGGGGUGGAUUGUUGCAGAGCUCGUAGGUGCGUAUCCGCAUGCGCGGGAACGGUUAAAAUGGCGCCACCCAGCUACCCAGUCUGUUCUCCCAGAUCAGCAAUCGCGGACUGGUCCUCUGUUUCCAGCUCUUGUCCACUCCCCACUUUUUCACUCUCCGUAACCAAGCCCCAGGCAGUACCUCUCUCCUGAGUUUUGUCUCAGAUGCGGCUGUUUUCCCCGGCCCCUUCCGAAGGACUGCGGCUUUUACCCAUUCCGCCCCUCUGCGGGAGGGUCUCACCGAGCAGUGGCCGAAUGAGUAAGGGCCGAAUGUCGGCCGCACCCAGGAACGAUUGCUGGACCCUGCUGCUGCCAGUGCCCCGAGACUGCGGCCAGGUGCCAGCCCGCCCCAGGAAAAGUUCGCGAGACAUUGUAGCAGCAGCGUUUCAGGGAUUAUGGAAAAUCACAACACAUAUCUGGCACUAGGCUUCACCCUUAAGGACCUUGUUCCAGCACCAGCGAAUGUGGCCGCCUUCUGGGGUCUGUCGGGACCAGGUGGCUUCAACGGUCUCUACCAAAUGUCCUUCCAGCAGUGGAACCACUUUUCCCUGUGUGGCCCGAGGACCUCCUGGACCCCACGCUGUCCCUGAGGAUUCACCUUUCCCACCAGAGCACCGCCAGAUAAAUAAAUGAAGAAAGCUCACCCCAGAGAAUAAAUAUGGAUGAUACUCCCCACCGUGGGAACAAAACAUUUUUUUUUAACAAAUGACACAUUAACAAUAAGAAGAUACAAGAUGCAGACAUGUAGAAGCAAGGAAAUUCAAGCUUGUGCCGUUGACAUACCUGAGUCACAAAGAUGAAACAGACUUUUCUCCCUGGAGGCAUAAUCUAUCCCUAGAAUUCUUGAGAAUCAUGGUUCAAAUUUUAUAUGUUGGAGAUGAAGUGUCCUUGGGUGGGAUGCUUAGAAAGGAAGCAGAAGAUGGUAAGACCCUAGAAUGGGGCCUCUGUCUCCUAGGUCAGGCUUCAAGUACACCUAACCAUGUUUGAGGCAUGCAGUUGAUUCUGUGAAGGAUACCAAUAUGUAGAUGACACCAAUCAAUGAUACCAAAGCCUGUGGAUCACAGGAAUUUACAAUGGAUAUUGUGGCGCAGAAUUUGACCUAGAGGUAUUGGGAGGAGAGCAGAGAAACAAGCCUAAAGUUCUCCUCUGAAUGCUGUCCAUUUAGUCAACUGUCCAAAUUGGAAAUAUCAACUCACUUCUGCUUUUCUUUCUGAAAGUUAAACUUCUGCGAUCUAGAAAUGUAUUUAAAGGAGAACCUAAGAAUGAUUGUUUGCUUUUAAAUAAUAAUAACGUUGUUAAGUAUUAUACAUUAUUGGCUCCAGUUCGUCCCCCUCUCUUUGUCUACACCACCUGCCAUCUAUAUUUGCCAUGUAUAUUUGUACUUCCCUGACCUUGACUUGCAUUUGGGCCAAUGGAAUGUGCAUAGACAUGAUGGUAUGACAGAUUAGAGCCUAGUUCUAAAGGAGCAGUGCUGGAUUCUGUUUCUCUUGUACCUCUUCCAUUUCCAUGAGAAGAGUUUAUACUCAGUAGUUGCUGCCUCCUAGUAACACUGAAUACACAUGGAACAGAAUGCGCCCCAAAUCAGUGAAGAUUGAAGCCUGGCGGAAUCUUCAGUUGAAGCAAAGCCACCCAGCUGAUGCCAGCCUUGAUCAGCAGACCUACAGAUACACAAGCCUCAGAUACACAAGCAAGAAUUAAUAAUUGGUUAAAACACUAUUUGGGUUAAUUUGUUAUGCAGCAAUAACUGACUAAAACAAAUAACAUUAUUAGCUCAACUUGCCCAUAAUUUGCCCAAGGUCACACAGCCAGUGCCCAAUGAAGAUGGAAUUCAAAUUCUGGGCUCUUAAUCGCCACCUUAUAUAACCUUGGGAAAUGAACCUAGUUAGUAUUCUGGUGAGUUCUUCCCAGGCAAAGAUUUUUACCCUGGAAUGGAGAAGAGAUGAGAAAAUACAUUGGUUUCUUUUUCAGAUGGUUUUCAGGGAAGAGGAGAGCUAUAAUCAUACCAGGAUCAUGUAUUCAUGGACCUCAGUCAGAGGCUCUCAGUUCUCAGAGAGAAGGACAAAUAUAUUUUUUAAAAAAUAGAAAAGUAAACAAAAGCAGAAUUCAGAUUAAAGAAUGGCAGGUCAUAAAAAAAUAAGGAUGGAUGAAAGACUGCCUAACAUUACCGCUGUUGUAUUAGGAUUUGCCUCUUGGUUACUAGCUUUGUGAUCUCCAGGACUCAGUUUUCUCAUCUGAAAAAUAAGGAUAAUAAAAGCAACUACUUCAUA